rnacentral:rRNA from 1 species
GAUGAACGCUGGCGGCGUGCCUAAUACAUGCAAGUCGAGCGAACAGACGAGGAGCUUGCUCCUCUGACGUUAGCGGCGGACGGGUGAGUAACACGUGGAUAACCUACCUAUAAGACUGGGAUAACUUCGGGAAACCGGAGCUAAUACCGGAUAAUAUAUUGAACCGCAUGGUUCAAUAGUGAAAGACGGUUUUGCUGUCACUUAUAGAUGGAUCCGCGCCGCAUUAGCUAGUUGGUAAGGUAACGGCUUACCAAGGCAACGAUGCGUAGCCGACCUGAGAGGGUGAUCUGCCACACUCGAACUGAGACACGGUCCAGACUCCUACGGGAGGCCGCGGUAGGGAAUCUUCCGCAAUGGGCGAAAGCCUGACGGGGCAACGCCGCGUGAGUGAUGAAGGUCUUCGGAUCGUAAAACUCUGUUAUUAGGGAAGAACAAAUGUGUAAGUAACUAUGCACGUCUUGACGGUACCUAAUCAGAAAGCCACGGCUAACUACGUG